rnacentral:misc_RNA from 1 species
GAUGAAGAACGUAGCGAAAUGCGAUAAGUAAUGUGAAUUGCAGAAUUCAGUGAAUCAUCGAAUCUUUGAACGCACAUUGCGCCCGCCAGUAUUCUGGCGGGCAUGCCUGUUCGCGCGUCAUUUCAACCAUCAAGCCCUGCUUGCGUUGGGGUCCUGCGGCUGCCCGCAGGCCCUGAAAACCAGUGGCGGGCUCGCUAGUCACACCGAGCGCAGUAAUACAUCUCGCUUUGGGCGUGCGGCGGGUUCUUGCCGUUAAACACCCCCUUUUUACCAAGGUUGACCUCGGAUCAGGUAGGAAUACCCGCUGAACUUAAGCAUAUCAAUAAGCGGAGGA